CUAAAAGAAUAAGGGUUAAGGGUUGGUUUUUUAAAAAAGGGGACCUCGGGAAGCAUAAGGUAGAGAAGGAAAAGGAAAAAGAAAAAGGAAACCCUUCUCCUUCUUCUUCUUCUCCCAGCCUCGCCACUGCUCGAUUUCGCCAUCGACACAAGUAUACAUUUGUCCAACCCCACCAAUGCCAUGCCGUCCUUCCCCGUUCCACUUUCGUUCGUUUCGUGGUGAAGCUCAGCCGCGCGGGGAGCCCGCCGCCUAGCUGAAGUCGCCGUCGAUCGCGCAUCAGGAGGCAUCCAAACCUGUUCGUCGACCUAAAGCGGCAAUUGACGAACUGAGGCUACGAAUCGAAGCUGCAUCCAGACCCGAAGCGGCGAUCGAUGAACCAAAGCUGUGAACCGAAGCUGCAUCCAGACUGUUCGUCAACCCGAAGCCGCGUCCUUUUCCCCAGGCCACAUCGUCCUUCCCGUUCGCCAUCCGUCAACCUAAACACAAGCAUCGUCCAUCAGUCUUCGUGCGACUGGUUCUGGUUGCCAUCGGAUCGCAAUUGUUUCCGUCUGAUCUUUCUGUUUGGGGGAACUUAUGGUGGUGAAGGAAGUUUCCAAGCGAAGUGAAGGUUCGAUAUCCGGUGAGUGGUUGCAGUGUCAAUGCUUUGGUAAGUGGGUUAUUGUCUUUUGUGUCAAACUGUUGUUAUUAUUGUAUGGCCAGGUUGGACGGUUCAUUUGAAGUGUUGGGACUUCGUUCGAGUGUGUGGGUUUCAUUGCUUGUGUGCUUGCAUCGAAUUUGCUCGUUGGGUCAACCUUAGAAAAUGUAUUGUCAAGCCUAUGCACGCAUAAAGUAGCAUCCAAGAAACAUACUAGAAAUUUGAGUCGUUACAACCGAUUGGUGGAGGUAUUUCUGGCAAUGUGAAUCGACAAUGUAAAGAAUCGACGGUGUGAAGAUUUGUUCGGCUUCAGCUAUGUGAAGAAUCGGUGGUGUGUUUCUUCGAAUCAUUCAUUCAAUAGUAUGUUUCGUUCGAUGAUGAGGGUUUUGAUUGAUAGAACAGCCUGGACCAACAGAUAGAGUUUUGAUUGUGAGUGUCAUCGUUUGGCUUCUUUGGCUGUGUGAAGAAUUGGUGGUGUGAGAGCUUCUUCAAAUUGUGUUCGUUCAGCUACGUAGAUGUUAAUAUUCUUGACAUUUAAAACAAGACAAGAAAACUUAUAUUGAAUUUGACAUUUUUAAAACAUCAAG